GGCUCCACGCCCGAUAUGGAGCCCAACGCGGGGCUUGAACUCAUGACCCUGAGAUCAAGACCUGAGCUGAGAUCAAGAGUGGGACGCUUAACCGACAGAGC